GACAGAGGGGGCAAGCGUUGCUCGGAAUUACUGGGCGUAAAGGGCGCGUAGGCGGGAUGGCAAGUCGGUCGUGAAAUCCCUCGGCUCAACUGAGGAUCGUCGAUCGAUACUGCCGUUCUUGAGGAUUGCAGAGGAGACUGGAAUUCCCGGUGUAGCGGUGAAAUGUGUAGAGAUCGGGAGGAACACCGGUGGCGAAGGCGGGUCUCUGGGCAAUUCCUGACGGCUGAGGCGCGAAAGCGUGGGGAGCAAACGGG
rnacentral:rRNA from 1 species